rnacentral:rRNA from 1 species
CAGUAGCCGCGGUAAAACGAAGGGGGCUAGCGUUGCUCGGAAUUACUGGGCGUAAAGGGCGCGUAGGCGGCGCUCCAAGUUAGGCGUGAAAUUCCCGGGCUCAACCUGGGGACUGCGCUUAAGACUGGAGUGCUUGAGGAUGGAAGAGGGUUGUGGAAUUCCCAGUGUAGAGGUGAAAUUCGUAGAUAUUGGGAAGAACACCGGUGGCGAAGGCGGCAACCUGGUCCAUUACUGACGCUGAGGCGCGAUAGCGUGGGGAGCAAACAGGAUUAGAUACCCGCGUAGUCCCUGUCUCUUAUAC